GCCCGAAUAGCUCAGUUGGUAGAGCAUUAGACUUUUAAUCUGAGGGUCCAGGGUUCAAGUCCCUGUUUGAGCA
rnacentral:tRNA from 1 species